UCUCUCUCUCUCUCUCUCUCUCUCUUAUAUCUUUCUCUCUCACUUUCUUGUGUGUGUGUGUGUGUUUUUGUUUUUUUGUUUUUUUUUUUUUUGGGUCAAAGCUUUCAUUUCCCUCACCCUCCCUCCGAUCCAUCUCUCCCUCCCUCCGUCCGUUGGCAUCGGAUGAUUUUUUUUUUCAAACAGAAGUUGUCGGUUCGGGUGACGGUGUGCGGCAAAACCGAUCCGACCCGUGUACAGUGAUGCCUCCUCAAUCUUCAGGUUUAUUUGGAAGUAUUGGUGAUGGCACGAGUGAAGUCGGAAAAAAUUAAAAUAAAGAUUUAUCUAGUGGGGCACAUAUGCUCUUCAAUGCCAAAUUCAAACUGUGCACCACACAUGGAGUCCAGAAAAUAUGUGGAUACUUGUUUUCAAUGCUCAACCCAGCAGCUUUGUAAUUGGAUGCAUUAUCGAUGAUGCCAUGACAUUGAUGAGAGGACGUCAUUGCCUAGUUGACCACCCGUCGGAGAGCAAUGAAACCCCUUUCUUUUUCCAUGAAUCUCUGAUAGGUUGCAGCAGCCUAUUAACAUGCUCUUUUUCUUGGGAAAGCAAGUGGUACGUAGCCUAUCAUAUGGAGUGUAGCCUAUCAUAUGGAGUGUAACCUAUCAAGCUGUUGUUUGCUAAACUCUGAGAAUACUUUCGGAAGUAAGGUGACCUUGCCAGAUUGAAAGGUAAGCCACUUGCAUAGAACAUUCAUGCACAUUCGUUGUCAGCAAUAUCUCUCUGAGCAACAUUAAAUGACUUGUGCAAAGCACCUGGCAGAGCCAUUCCUUUGCGUUUUUUCUAUUGUAGGAAGUCUGAGCCUUCAGCUUCAACAUCAUCUCUUACGGAUUUCCAAGGUUCAACUCCAUGAUUUGGAAGCUUCACCGGAUGAGCUUUCACCUUUGUAUAUGACCCAGUUACUUUUUUGUUGCUAUAAUUACAAGACCAAGUUCUAUUUCCACCUCCACCUGAAGACACAUUGAAAACCUUCACAUGAUUCCACAAUGGCUUGUCAUCGAACUCUGCUCCAUGACAUGCUACUGGACGCAAGGUUUUCUUCUACUUGGCUGAAGAUUGGGAGGAAGACAUUGUCCCCCUAUAGAUGAAAUUAAUCUGUAAUGGAAGGAAGUUUUGAGAGAUUUUUUUUUUGGGCUAAAAGAUAUAACCAAAGUCUCUGUUAUAUGCAGAUAAAACUAGUGGAAGGUGGAAAGGUACUUUUGGGAGUUGUUUCUAAGAAUGAUUAGAGGUUUGUGGCUGGCAAAUAAGGCUUCCCAAGGAAGGAAAGCAAUGAAGUCAUUUUGUUGAUGGAACAAACAUGUAGAUACAAUGAUUUUAUUUUAUUUUUUUAUAUUUGCAAGGCACAUUUAAUGUUAAUGUCAGUCACUGCUAAUGACAACUAAAGAAAUGAGUUUUUUAUAUUUGAAGUACUGUAUCAAAGAAAUGGCAACCAA